rnacentral:rRNA from 1 species
CGCUAAACACGUAUAAAAUAAUGAUUUUAGUUUAUUUAUAUUAUUUAAUAAAAUGAUUGUUUAGGUGGAAAUUAUUUUUAAAAUUAAAAAUUUAGGUAUUAUUUAUUUAAAUAACAUUGAGUAAAAAAGAAUUGAUAUUUGACGUGGAACUAGACUGUAAUAAUAAUAAAUUUUAAAAUCUUUUAAAAAAGAAAUAAUUCUUUAAGAAUACUGCUGCUAUAUGUUUAAAAUGUUUUAAUUCAUUCUAUAUUACUCCUAAUAGUUAAUAUUUUGUUCAAGGAGACUUAUCUAAUUUUAUGGCGGUUUAAAUAAUUUAAAAUUCUUAUUUAGAUUAUGAUUAGAUAAAGAAUAAUUAAUUCAAAAAUUAUUGU